ACAAAGGCCCUUUUCAGGGCUAUAAUUCAUUAAUAAAUUUAUUUAAU
rfam:Aedes aegypti strain Liverpool supercont1.286 genomic scaffold, whole genome shotgun sequence.